rnacentral:rRNA from 1 species
GUACACGCUGUGACUAGCAUAUCAAUAAGCGGAGGAAAAGAAACUAACAAGGAUUCCCUCAGUAACGGCGAGUGAAGCGGGAAGAGCUCAAAUUUGAAAUCUUGAAAGGUCACCUUUCACGAAUUGUAGUUUAAAGAAGUGUUUUCUGUUACGAUCGUAAUAUAAGUUCUUUGGAAUAGGACAUCACAGAGGGUGAGAAUCCCGUCUAUGAUUGCGAUUUGUAGCUUUGUGAUACACUUUCAAAGAGUCGGGUUGUUUGGGAAUGCAGCCCAAAACGGGAGGUAAAUUUCUUCUAAGGCUAAAUAUUGGCGAGAGACCGAUAGCGAACAGGUACCGUGAGGGAAAGAUGAAAAGAACUUUGAAAAGAGAGUUCAAAUAGUACGUGAAAUUGUCAAAAGGGAAGCGUUUAACACCAGUGUUGUUUUCUGAAAAUCAACCUCUGUUAGCUUUAUGCAUGUUUGUUUAGACCUAAUCAGCUGUCUUUCAUGUUCUAUUGUUUGCAGUGGUGCACUUUUCAGUUUACAGGUCAACAUCAGUUUUUUUUACCGUAAAAAAGUUAAAGAAAGGUAGCUCAUGGCUCCGGUCGUGAGUGUUAUAGUCUUUUUCCUAUGCGGUAGGAGAGACUGAGGUCUGCAGUGUAGGCUAUUUGGCUAGAUACUCAGGUGCUAUGUGAUACCAUUUCAUAAACAACUUGUUGAUUAUGUUUUGUCUAUUGCAUACUCGCUUGUACUAUCAUACCUACGCUUAGGAUGUUGAGUAGCGACAUACGCAC